AUUCAAUACAGCGUAUGACAAGAGUUUAUUAAUACUGUACUGUAAAAAAGAUGCCACUGAGCCAAUAGACGGCAGUGAUUCCCUUAGUGAUAGUCAAAGUCAUCCUACACAAUAACCCUCCUCUCUCGUCUCCUUCACAUGAGCAAUGAAGGUUUUCAAAGUAAGUACAGGUUAAUUUAUUUUUCUUCGUAUUUUGUAUUUUCUUUAUUAUUUUGUAUCAUAUUACAUUAUUGUAAUCAUUUUUAUAUGAGUAUUUUCCAGUUGGGGAAGAAAUCGUCUCA